rnacentral:misc_RNA from 1 species
GAUGAAGAACGCAGCGAAAUGCGAUAAGUAGUGUGAAUUGCAGAAUUCAGUGAAUCAUCGAAUCUUUGAACGCUCAUUGCGGCCCUUGGUAUUCCAUGGGGCAUGCCUGUUCGAGCGUCAUUUGUACCUUCAAGCUUUGCUUGGUGUUGGGUGUUUGUCUCGCCUUUGCGUGUAGACUCGCCUUAAAAUAAUUGGCAGCCGGCGUAUUGAUUUCGGAGCGCAGUACAUCUCGCGCUUUGCACUCAUAACGACAGCGUCCAAAAGUACAUUUUACACUCUUGACCUCGGAUCAGGUAGGGAUACCCGCUGAACUUAAGCAUAUCAAUAAGCGGAGGA